rnacentral:rRNA from 1 species
UCAUGCCGGUGGGAAAUCAGCUCCCGGGGUAACCAGGGAAGUGCACUUUCUCGCAAGGCAGGUUAGCGUCAGUUUCGCCAGUCGUAAAAAGUCCGUCGGAAGGUAGCUCCAUUCGGAGUGUUAUAGCCAGCGGUCAAUGCGACGUGCGGGAUUGAGGAUUGCAGCGGGUGCCCUUCGGGGCUAAGUGCCUGACCCUUGUUCGAGAUCGUCUCGGCAGCAGCGUGCUGGUGACGAGCACGAUUCGCGGACACGGGGUUUAGCGUCACGGUAAA